rnacentral:lncRNA from 10 species
AUGGCUCCCUAAUGAGUAGAAUGAGACCUGUGUGCCAACCCUGGCCUAGUCCUCAUGCCCCCACAACUGUGAAGCGAGAGGGCUCAACAGUUUCGAAUUCAAUUCAACCACCACCUCCUGAAUACCAACUAGGUUCCAGGACCUGGCUAGAAGCAGAGACACCAGGACAGAAAAGACAGUGUUCUGCUUUCAUGGAGUUCACAGAAGAGUCGAGGAGG